rnacentral:rRNA from 1 species
CCCAUUGCGAAGGCGAUCUGCUGGAACUCAACUGACGCUAAGGCGCGAAAGCGUGGGGAGCAAACAGGAUUAGAUACCCUGGUAGUCCACGCCCUAAACGAUGUACACUAGUUGUUGGGGUGCUAGUCAUCUCAGUAAUGCAGCUAACGCAUUAAGUGUACCGCCUGGGGAGUACGGUCGCAAGAUUAAAACUCAAAGGAAUAGACGGGGACCCGCACAAGCGGUGGAGCAUGUGGUUUAAUUCGAAGAUACGCGAAGAACCUUACCUGGGCUUGAUAUCCUAAGAACCUUAUAGAGAUAUGAGGGUGCUAGCUUGCUAGAACUUAGAGACAGGUGCUGCACGGCUGUCGUCAGCUCGUGUCGUGAGAUGUUGGGUUAAGUCCCGCAACGAGCGCAACCCACGUAUUUAGUUGCUAACGGUUCGGCCGAGCACUCUAAAUAGACUGCCUUCGUAAGGAGGAGGAAGGUGUGGACGACGUCAAGUCAUCAUGGCCCUUAUGCCCAGGGCGACACACGUGCUACAAUGGCAUAUACAAUGAGACGCAAUACCGCGAGGUGGAGCAAAUCUAUAAAAUAUGUCCCAGUUCGGAUUGUUCUCUGCAACUCGAGAGCAUGAAGCCGGAAUCGCUAGUAAUCGUAGAUCAGCCAUGCUACGGUGAAUACGUUCCCGGGUCUUGUACUCACCGCCCGU